rnacentral:rRNA from 1 species
AUGCGCGCACAGAUGGAAACCUACGCCGACCUCGGCCCCGACGGCGGCAACCCUGCUCCGGCGAAGCCGGCCAUGGAGGAACCACGCGCCGCCACCGAGGUCGUUGCGGACCCCUACCUCGCCGGCACCGACGCGCUCCCCGCCCCCCACCCGGGUACUGCCGCCGGCGCGAGGAAGCGGAAGGCCCCGGCUAUGGCGAUGGGGAAGGCUGCCAGGAAGCCUCGCAAGCCGCAGGUUGAAGAACCGAUUCAGAUGCCUGUGUACUAUGGACUUAGAAAAGAGUUUCUCAGCGUGGAGGGCAAUGAUUUAGUUGAGGAUUGCUCAGACCUUUUUGCAGAGAACAAAUGUGCGCGUGUCAUCGGCGAGCUACAGCUGCAGCCACAGUCCAUGUCACUGGUGGAUCUGCAGCUCUGGGUCUUCAAGCUGUUCCGGCUCCAUCCAGAAACACAAGAUAUUGAUAUUAAGGGAUUCUUCAAACAACACAAAAGGGACCUCACUGACGACGAGUCCUCCGAACCAGACUGUUCUUUGGAGUACUACCCGUGGGACAUACAUUAUUUUAGGACUGACAAAUGCUGGAGUUCCUUUGCCAAUAAAUUGAAGAGAAAAAGGAAUGUGACACAGAGGUUCAUGUUGUAUGUGCAAUCUUCUGAGGUCAAGCACUACCACAUUUUGCUCAAAGCUGUAAAUGGCGAUUAUUCUCAACUGGCGACGGUUGUGUUGCCCGGGACGAAAAGCCUGACGGGUCGCUUCGGCUUUGGUGCCUUUGUGGAAGACCCAACAAUGACAGCUGAGGAAAUUGCAGAUUAUCUCACUCGUCACUAUGGCGAGCGGAUUAGUCCUGUUGAGGCGUGGAGAGCAAAACAGUUUGCUCUGGAGAGUAAAUUUGGAACCUUCUAUGAUUCACACAACUUUGCCCCGAGGUUACUUAAGGAAAUAGCACGUAAAAACCCUGGUACUUUUGUUGACAUCAAGGAUGCAGAGGUUGCAGGGUGUGAAGAUUUUCGAGUCCUGCAGCGUAUGUUUUGGGCAUUUGGACAGUGCUUACAGGCCUUCCAUACCUGUCGCCCUGUGCUAUGCAUCAAGGGCACACCACUAUGUGGGAAAUAUCAAGGGAUGCUGUUGACUGCUGUAGCAUUAGAUGCUAAUGAUUUCUCCAUUCCAGUAGCAUGUGCUGUUGUCGAGGAUGAGACCAAGGAAAGCUGGCUGUGGUUUCUUAGGAAUUUGGAGCGAGCAGUGGUGCAUCAGUCUGAUGUGUGCAUCAUACACGACUACAAAAAGGAGUUGAUUGAUGCUGUGGAGGACCUUCUGAAUUCCCGUGAACGACAGUGGCGUAAAGCAGAAAGCCGAUGGUGCAUGGAAGACCUUGCUGAAAACUUCUUUGCGUAUUUUGGCGAGAAGAAGCUGGUGAUGAUGUUCAAGAAACUUUGCCAGCAGAAGCGACGCCAUAAGUUCGGUAAAUCUGGAAGGAGCUAG